UCUUGCGCAAUGGGCGAAAGCCUGACGCAGCCAUGCCGCGUGAAUGAUGAAGGUCUUACCCCCCGUAAAAUUCUUUCACCGGGGACGAUAAUGACGGUACCCGGAGAAGAAGCCCCGGCUAACUUCGUGCCAGCAGCCGCGGUAAUACGAAGGGGGCUAGCGUUGCUCGGAAUUACUGGGCGUAAAGGGAGCGUAGGCGGACAUUUAAGUCAGGGGUGAAAUCCCGGGGCUCAACCUCGGAAUUGCCUUUGAUACUGGGUGUCUUGAGUAUGAGAGAGGUGUGUGGAACUCCGAGUGUAGAGGUGAAAUUCGUAGAUAUUCGGAAGAACACCAGGGCGAAGGCGACACACGGCUCAUUACGACGCGAGGCCGAAAG
rnacentral:rRNA from 1 species